rnacentral:rRNA from 1 species
AGAACGAACGCUGGCGGCGUGCCUAACACAUGCAAGUCGAACGAGAAAGGGGCUUCGGCUCCGAGUAAAGUGGCGCACGGGUGAGUAACACGUAGGUAACCUGCCUCUAAGAUUGGGAUAACUUGUCGAAAGACGAGCUAAUACCAAAUAAGACCACGGUCUCCUCGGGGACAGAGGUCAAAGGUAGCCUCUAUUUAUAAGCUAUCGCUGAGAGAUGGGCCUGCGUACCAUUAGCUUGUUGGUGAGGUAACGGCUCACCAAGGCAAAGAUGGUUAGCUGGUCUGAGAGGAUGAUCAGCCACACUGGAACUGAGACACGGUCCAGACUCCUACGGGAGGCAGCAGUGGGGAAUAUUGCGCAAUGGGCGAAAGCCUGACGCAGCAACGCCGCGUGAGUGAUGAAGCCUUCGGUCUAAAGCUCUGUCAGAGGAACGAAUGCUCCUGAAGUUAACAGCUUCGGGAGGUCGACGGUACCCUCGAAGGACGCCGACGGCUAACCG